rnacentral:tRNA from 1 species
GGGGUUGUGGCUCAGUGGUAGAGUGCUUGCCUUGCAUGUGUGAGGCACUGGGUUUGAUUCUCAGCACCG